rnacentral:lncRNA from 1 species
AUUAAUCGAGCGAUAGAUCGAAUUAGGCUAAUACCAUUUUAUUUAGGUACAUAAUUGAAUUUAUAUUGAACACCGUAUUGAGAUAGUUACCCAAGUAUUUCACAUCCCAUUUCAUGCAUUAGUAUAAAGCCUGAAUUGGUUUUACAACGGUUUAGCACAAAUGUAGUAAAUGGCUUAUUGUGCAUUAUGUCUAGGUGGUGAGCUUUCUGGCAAAAGUAAAGAGAUAGUACUCGAGGAUUAAGAAUCAGAGUACUCAGAAUUCGACUUCCGAAAUAGUGAGUAACCUUACUAUCGUCUUAAUUAUCUAAAGUGGUUUUUAUCCGAUUUUGUGGUUUUUAUCCGAUUUUGUGAUUUUAUGGAAAAUGAGUUUAAAUGGUAAAUCUUUAUGUUUUAUAAGCAAAAAUGUGAUUAAAUGAAAUGAUUUUGUAAAAUUGUUUUGAAAUUGAAUGAUGGUUUUGAAAAUGGAGCAAUUGGAGACUAAUUGCUGUGUUAUAAAUCAUGGUUUGAAUUGAAUGGCUUAUGAUAAUAUUAGCAUGAAUAGUUGAAUUGGUAUUUGUGUUGAAAAUGUAUGAACUGUUAAUUUGCCUUGAGAGGCUGUAAAAUAAAAUAAUUGCCAUGUCAUGCUGUUGAAUUUUAUUGAAUUGAUGGGUUAUAUAUUAGUCGCUGCAGUGGAUGGGUUCCGUGGAUCAGCCUAUUAGAGGGGCACGGUAACCCUAUUAUAUUCAUACCUCAGUAUGAGAGGCGCGGUUGGAUAACUCCUGAGGUUAAAACUUUAGAGUUCACUUCACACUAAACCACCACGUGAGGGUGAACUCAGCCAACGCCAAGGAACGACUAUGUUUUCAAAAUAAAAACAUGAUUUAUACGUACAUAACUUUUUAACAGCCUUGGCGAACUCGGUUGGGAUAGCCCUCAGCCAAGGUAUCCCUAAUAACUGAGUAUGAGAAUGAUUUUGGCACGAGCCAAAGUUUUAAGAAAUUCAUAAGCCAUGUUGAUUUCUCAAUUUAUAUGAAUUGAUUUUAUUUGGUUGAAAUGAGUUGAAAGGUGAUGAAUUACAACAUGUUAAACUAUUUUAUCUGUCUUCAUUUACUCAACUUUAGAUAUUUUAGAUGGUAUUUGUUUACUCACUGGGAUUAUAUAAUCUCACCACCUUCCUUUCCACCCAUUUCAGGCUCAAGAUUGUCGGUAGAUAGCUCAUUUCGUUGAGGGCUACAGUUGGACUUGCAUCCUAAAAAACUGUAGGUUUACCGCUUUUGAUACUUUUGGUCGUUCAUGGGCCCAUGUGUCACUGUAAAUAAAAUUUUAUACUUUGGUUAUCUGUAUUACAGUAUUUAUGAAUUUAUUUAGCUUUUACGCUACAAAAAUUAUUUACCGGUAACUCUAUAAAUAUUAUUUUACAAGAAAA